rnacentral:rRNA from 1 species
GAUGAACGCUAGCGAUAGGCCUAACACAUGCAAGUCGAGGGGCAGCAUAGAGUAGCAAUACUUUGAUGGCGACCGGCGCACGGGUGAGUAACACGUAUGCAACCUACCUACAUCAGGGGAAUAACCCGGGGAAAUUCGGACUAAUACCGCAUAAUACAGGGAUGCCGCAUGGCAAUAUUUGUCAAAGAUUUAUCGGAUGUAGAUGGGCAUGCGUUCCAUUAGCUUGUUGGUGAGGUAACGGCUCACCAAGGCAACGAUGGAUAGGGGAACUGAGAGGUUGGUCCCCCACACUGGAACUGAGACACGGACCAGACUCCUACGGGAGGCAGCAGUGAGGAAUAUUGGUCAAUGGACGAGAGUCUGAACCAGCCAAAUCGCGUGAAGGAAGACUGCCCUACGGGUUGUAAACUUCUUUUGUACAGGAAUAAAAGACAUUACGUGUAAUGUAUUGCAUGUACUGUACGAAUAAGCAUCGGCUAACUCCGUGCCAGCAGCCGCGGUAA